GCAUAAUUAUCACAGACCUUUAAUCCAGCAUUCAGCUGAAGGCAGGCAGUAAGGCCAGACUGGUUUAAAUAGUUAAUUUGAGGCGAGCCAGGGUUACCUAUUGAGACCCUGUCUCAAGGGGGGAAAGUACUUUUGAGUAAUACAUGCCAGAUUAAAAUUUAAAAGGUACAAAGAGAAACACAGCAAACCAUAUGGCCCCCACCUCCAUUUCUUGGCAACCUAGAUCAGGUCCUUAGCAUUGUUUGUUUUCGCUGAGCUGUGUGGGGACUGAACGUGAUAAAGAAUAGUCACUGCUCAAAUACUGUGUGCUCCAGUUGCAGGCCUUGCUUAUUUAAUUUCUGAGGUUUCACCAAGUGGCCGAGACCUUGAGAUUCACCCAUCUCAGUUUCUUGAGUAUGGGGGAUUAUUGGCUUGUUCCAUCUGGACCUGUACGUCAGUUAUUUUGAGACAAUGUGCCUGUCUUGUACCUUAGCUUGUCUCAAACUAUGUACCAAAGACCUUGAACUUCUGUCCUCUUUCCCACACCUCCUAAGGGCCACUCCUAAUGUGCCUUUCUUUAUUUCUUCUCUCAUUUAUUUGUGAUUCAAGCCAACUAUUUCUUUCUUUCUUUCUUUCUUUCUUUCUUUCUUUCUUUCUUUCUUUCUUUCUUUUUUUUUUUUUUUGGAGCUGGGGACCGAACCCAGGGCCUUGCGCUCUACCACUGAGGUAAAUCCCCAACCCCAAGCCAACUAUUUCUAAUACUAGUUUUCUUGUGGUUUAUCUAGGUAGCACAUACCCUUUUAUCUCAGAAAUAGGGAACCAGAGUCAGGAGGAACUUUUUGAGUUUGGGGGUCAACCUGGUACACAUAGUUGAGUUCCAGGCCAGCUAGGGAUACAUAGAAAGAUGUCUCAAAACUUACAAAUAAACAACAUUAAAACUUUGUUUCACAGUCUCUCUUUUCUCACAGUGGGCAUUGAAAUCAGGGUCUUGUUAACACCAGGGAAAUGCUCCAGCAACUGAGCUAUGUCCUCUGUCCUGUUGUUUUACUUCUGACACUUUAAAUACCCUAUGUUGUGGGCAUAAUGUUACUGUGAACUGUGUAAGGAUUAAUCCUGCAUUAUUCAAAUGCUGAUUUCUGUACCCCCAUAUCUGGUUGCAAUCCUUAUUCUGAGGAUAUCUUGUCUCAAUGUUGUAAAUGUAAAUAUUGCUCCCCAAGUAUUCCUUCACUGGUCAAUGGAAAAGCUGAUUAGUCAAUGAUUGAUCAGGGGACAGAAUAGGGCUAGACUUUUUUUUGUUUUUUUUAAAAUCUGUUUUUCCUUUCAUCCCCUGUUCCCAGAAUAAUGAUUCUGAGACUUUUAUUAAUAAUUGUCUAGACCAAAGCUUUGGCUCAUUCCUUCACUCGUAACUUAUUUAAUCCAUUUAAACUACUCUGUCUACCACUUGGUUAGUUAGCUCUCUCUUACAUCCUGGCCUGCUUUUCUUCAAGUCUCCUCAGUGUCUUCCUCAAAUUUCUCGAAUAUCUGUGCCUUUUAUUCUCUAUUUUUCCAGAAUCUCUCUUCUUGCCAGUGUCCCACCUCUUAUUUUCUGUCUCAGCUCAUUGACCAAUGGCUUUUUAUUAUUAUUAUUAUUAUUAUUAUGAUGAUGAUGAUGAUGAUGAUGAUGUGAUUCUUGUAAGGAUUCUCUCUACACUGAACUUCCUCCUAGCCAGAGCAGGGGGUGGGGCAAGGAAAGAGUCCAAAAGAAAGCAAGAGAAAACAGCUUGAGCAGAGAAAGCCAGAAAAUGCAAAUGUCUCUGAGAUUUUGGCUAGGAGGCAGCAAGAUUACCUUAGAGGAUUAAAAUAAGAGUACUACUGCUCAGCUGUUGUGCCAUUAAAUCUUGAUAAAUAAAUAUAAAAGUUCCAUCUUGAUUAUUUGGAAGCUAACUGGGUAAGAGGAAAACUGUAACACACUUAUUAAAAAGCCACUAACACUAUGCUACUGAUUUUUUAUUAUAUUUUGAUGUAUGCCUAUGUACAUGUAUAUGUGUGGGUGUGCAUGCACCAUGGUGUUCAUGUGGAGAUUAGAGAAAAGUUUUCAGAAGCCAUUGGUUCAGGGGACCAACCUCAGAUCAUUACGUUUGGCAGCAAGUGCCUUUGCCCACAGUCAUCUUUAGAGCCCUUAUAUCUUUGUCAAUGAUGGCUCCAACGUCCUUGAGACAAGGUCUCACUGUGUGUCCCUGACUGGCACCAGCCCGACUCUGCUUCUGGAGUGCUUGGAUUAAAAGUGUGUGUCAGGGUUGGGGAUUUAGCUCAGUGGUAGAGCGCUUGCCUAGCAAGCACAAGGCCCUGGGUUGGGUCCCCAGCUCCAGAAAAAAAAAAAAAAAAAAGUGUGUGUCAUCUCACUCACUAUUGUAGCAGUGUAUAACCUUCUCUGCAACUCCAGUUUCAGGGAAUCUAACAUCUUGUCUCUGCAAGCACCAGGGACACAUGUGGUACACAUACAGGAAUGCAGGCAAACAUUUUAUAUUUGCCAUAUACACAAAAUAAAAAUAACUUUAAAAAAUCAAAACUAGAAUAGGAAGAUUCUUCCCCAUGGGGACAGAAAAGUGUCAAUGAGAAAAACCCUUUUGAAAACCAGUAAAAUGGGCUGGAGAGAUGGCUCAGCGGUUAAGAGCACUGAGUGCUCUUCCAGAGGGCCUGAGUUCAAUUCCCAGCAACCACAUGGUGGCUCACAACCAUCUGUAAUGAGAUCUGAUGCCCUCUUCUGGUGUGUCUGAAGACAGCUACAGUGUACUCAUAUAAAUAAAAUAACAUCUUUAAAAAA
ensembl:lncRNA